UGGGGAAUAUUGCACAAUGGGCGAAAGCCUGAUGCAGCAACGCCGCGUGAGUGAUGACGGUCUUCGGAUUGUAAAGCUCUGUCUUUUGGGACGAUAAUGACGGUACCAAAGGAGGAAGCCACGGCUAACUACGUGCCAGCAGCCGCGGUAAUACGUAGGUGGCAAGCGUUGUCCGGAUUUACUGGGCGUAAAGGAUGUGUAGGCGGAUACUUAAGUGAGAUGUGAAAGCCCCGGGCUUAACUUGGGGACUGCAUUUCAAACUGGGUGUCUAGAGUGCAGGAGAGGAAAGCGGAAUUCCUAGUG
rnacentral:rRNA from 1 species